AUUUAGGAGUAGUCAGAUAUAUUUAGGCCCAGUCGUUUUCCACAAAUUGAUUUCGAACAGUCCGUUUCGUAGCUGACAUAAUGAACAAGAUACUCAUCGCGUGUUUGGUGUUGGUGGCGGUAUGCGUCGCGCUCACGACCGCACAAGGAGGAUUUGCAGGUCGGUCAGCCUACGAUGCACAGAGUCCCCUAGCUGCGUUGGGCUACCGGCCACAACCGCAACAACAACAACAACCGUUCGAUAUGAACAUGCUGUUCUGGCUCGCUAUGAUGGAAAAUUGGUAAACUAGGACAGACUCAGGGACAUCAAGGCCAUGUAGACCUCAAAAAACCUGACAGCGUCCGCCAGGUGUUUUAGUACACAAAAUACUUGCUGUUGUUGUUCAUAUAGCAAACUGUCUUGAAUGGGAAUAUGUUGAAUAUGGUUGUAUUGUAUUACUUAUGAAUUAUAUUGUGUAGUUAAUAAUAUAUAUUUAUAUUUAUUUUUAUAAUAUAUUUUAAUGUUAUUUUUCACUUUGUGAACGUUCUUUUUUAUUUUAUUGUUGUUGUUGUUGUUUUCAUAACGAUAAGGCGACGUAAGACAACUUCUACGAAAACAAUUAUACUUGGUGAAUACAAAAUACAUUCUUGUGCUUCAGCCCAAAACGAAAUUCAUAAAAACAACACCCAUCUUGUCAAAAUCCUUGAUAUGAAGUGAAAAAGUUAUUGUUACUAAUUUGUCAUUUUGUAAUUAUUAAAAGUCAUUUCGUAAUAAAAUGUAUCUACAAUUUUACUGUCAUUUUAAUUUGUGUUAAUUAUUUUCACGUCCAAACGAAACUCUCAAGUUCAUGUAACGCGUCGAGUAAAAAAGACAAAGAUGUUUUUGUGACACUUUCGCUAACUGGGUCUGUUAAGCUGUUUUAAAUUUCAAGAAAAGUAAUUCCUUAUAUGCUGAACGAACUAUGCUUGUUAACCAAUGUGUUGUUAAUGACGUUAUCUUGCAACAUACUUAAUGAAU